rnacentral:tRNA from 1 species
GGCGGGGUAGCUCAGGGGUUAGAGCAGUCGCUUCAUAAGCGACGUGUCGCCGGUUCAAUUCCGGCCCCCGCUA